GACGUAGGGAGCGAGCGUUGUCCGGAUUCAUUGGGCGUAAAGGGUCCGUAGGCGGCUCAGCAAGUCGGGUGUGAAAUCUCCAGGCUCAACCUGGAGGGGCCACUCGAUACUGCUGUGGCUUGAGUCCAGUAGGGGAGCAUGGAAUUCCCGGUGUAGCGGUGAAAUGCGCAGAUAUCGGGAGGAACACCGGUGGCGAAGGCGGGUCUCUGGGCCGAUACUGACGCUGAGGAGCGAAAGCGUGGGGAGCGAACAGG
rnacentral:rRNA from 1 species